AAGUGAAUCAGCAAUACUCCAAAUGUAUUUUCACCUACAGAAUAGUUGAAUAAUGUUUGCAUACAUUUAUAUUGUUCUCCUUGCUGAGAUCCCAGCCGUUCUGGGAGUGACUUUGAAUCAAGGUCAAAAGGCUUUGAGCAAAGCAGCGGGCAAAACAUUAUACUUGCCCUGUAAAGUGGCAGGUUUGCAGUCAUGGAAUUAUAUCCACUGGUACCAAAUGAGAGACGGUGAAGCCCCAUCGAGACUGCUUUAUAUCAAUGAAGGUGGUGCUGUCACUUACGAUACCAACAAUCCUCAGGCAAAUGACUUCACAGUGGACAGAAGAAAGCUUUAUGACCUAAAACUGGGUGAUGCUCAGCAAAAACACACUGCAGUUUACUUCUGCGCCUACUGGGACACAAGCAGCCACACUGAGAAUAUCUACUCACAUCCUGUACAAAAACUAUACUGGUAAUUGUAAUUAUAAUAUAUUUAACAAUUAAAUUAUAACUUUUUGUUUAAGUUUUUCAUUAAGAAUUAAGUUGUAGGCUAUACUGCAGUUAUGGGUCUGUUUGGAUCUAAACUGUAAUGGGGUAUUAUGCACACUGACUUUUAAUUUCAGCCAGCCAGCCUUAGCACUUCCGGUGAACUGGCUUUCCAUUAUAAAAUCGCCACGUUUAAGAUCUGAUUUUCUUUUUUAAAUCUGUGAUCUUCGCUGCCUGAUAGAUAUACAUUAUAAAGUGGGACUCAAACCAGACAAGAAGCACUGCAUGAAAUUCAAUUUCUCCCGUCAUGACUGUAAAAUAUUUUACCCCAGUAUUUUUAAAGGAGUUUCUGCGCUAGCUGCCUGACCUUGACGCUGCUAGCAGUUACACUGUCUUUCAUUUUGUUUUAUGCUUAAAAAUAAAUUAAUGCUUAAGUCUAUUUAACUGAUUGUAUU